UACAGAGGUCCCAAGCGUUGUUCGGAUUCACUGGGCGUAAAGGGCGCGCAGGUGGCGCUUCAAGUUUGAUGUGAAAGCUUCGGGCUUAACCCGGAAAUGGCAUUGAAUACUGGAGUGCUGGAGGUUUGGAGGGGGGACUGGAAUUCUCGGUGUAGCAGUGAAAUGCGUAGAUAUCGAGAGGAACACCAGUGGCGAAGGCGGCUCUCUAGUACGGUACUGACGCUGAGACGCGACAGCGUGGGGAGCGAACAGG
rnacentral:rRNA from 1 species